rnacentral:rRNA from 1 species
CAUUAAAACAGUUAUAGUUUAUUUGAUAGUGCAAAUUACAUGGAUAACCGUGGUAAUUCUAGAGCUAAUACAUGCGCAAAUACCGGACGCAAGAAUGGUAGCAUUUAUUAGAUUUAACCAUCACAUGGUGAAUCAUAGUAACUUAGCUGACCGCGUGUAUACGUGGUAAAUCAUUCAAGUUUCUGCCCUAUCAGCUUUCGAUGGUAGUGUAUUGGACUACCAUGGCAGUCACGGGUAACGGAGAAUUAGGGUUCGAUUCCGGAGAGGGAGCCUGAGAAACGGCUACCACAUCUAAGGAAGGCAGCAGGCGCGUAAAUUACCCAAUCCCGAUUCGGGGAGGUAGUGACAAGAAAUAGCAACUCGUGCGGGUUUCCGUUACGGGAUUGCAAUGAGAUAAGUCCAAAUCCGUAAACGAUUAACAAUUGGAGGGCAAGUCUGGUGCCAGCAGCCGCGGUAAUUCCAGCUCCAAUAGCGUAUACUUAAGUUGUUGCAGUUAAAAAGCUCGUAGUUGAAAUUCGAGUCAGUUACUAGUUGGCUUUUCGUCAGUUAGUUAAUUGAUUCUCCGUCUACAAUCCCUUUUGCGCUUUAGGGUUGCAGCUGGGCGAGUAGACAAUUUACCUUGAAAAAAUUAGAGUGUUCCAGGCAGGUCUUCGCCGGAAUACAUUAGCAUGGAAUAAUGGAAUAGGACUUGGGUCUUUUGUUGGUUUUAGGACUUGAGUAAUGAUUAAUAGGGACAGAUGGGGGCAUUAGUAUUUAAUUGUCAGAGGUGAAAUUCUUGGAUUUAUUAAAGACUAACUUAUGCGAAAGCAUUUGCCAAGGAUGUUUUCAUUAAUCAAGAACGAAAGUUAGGGGAUCAAAGACGAUCAGAUACCGUCGUAGUCUUAACUAUAAACUAUACCGACUCGAGAUCGGAAGGGUAAUAUAUUAGUCCCUUUCGGCAUCGUAAGAGAAAUCAAAGUCUUUGGGUUCUGGGGGGAGUAUGGUCGCAAGGCUGAAACUUAAAGGAAUUGACGGAAGGGCACCACCAGGAGUGGAGCCUGCGGCUUAAUUUGACUCAACACGGGGAAACUUACCAGGUCAAAACAUGGAUGGGAU